GGGGUCGUUUUUGGUUUUGACUGCAAGAUGAAGUGGUAAGUAAGCAUGUCGAGCAUUGUGAGUUGGCUCGUAAAUAUCGGCUCUCAAAUCGCUAAUUGGCGAAAAUAACUAUGCAAUGGCUGCAUAAUCACGACCAAGUCGGAUUAUCUUAAUUCUUGUCCGCAAGGCGGGCUGAACCAUUAAUCUCACAACAGUUCAGUUCAUUAAUUGUUGUAUUUGAGGUUUCAUCAUUUUGAACUAGCUAGUAAAUUGCUCCGAUUUAUUGGCGAAACUAAAGAAGCUUAAGCUUAAGGUUGGUGGCUUUUAUCCUGCUUUAAGUCUAACAAUUAAAUAAAAGCUAAACAUGAAGAAAGCUUAUUAGUUCCUUGUUUGGACGAGGGUUCGAAUCCCUCCGACUCCAC
rnacentral:tmRNA from 1 species